UGUGUGUAGUUCAGAGAGCUCGGCGACUGUGGAACCGCCGGAGAGACUUGCAACAUUAUAAACCUGUUAAUGAAAAUGUGUGAGAAAACACAAGACGAAGAAGAUAAAAGAGUAAAUGGGUAAAUAAAAAACGGGAGCAUGCAAAUAGAGAAAUACAUGUUGAAAGAUUCAUACUUUUUUGUGGCAUGACUGCAACUCCAUAUCCUCAGACUGCAUAAACUUGAGGCUGAACCACAUCAUACUCACAGGUGAAUGACGGCCAAGAGACGGGCGGGAGAAUGGAAAAUGGAGAGUAAAGGAGGAGCAAAUGUGAACAGAGGAGCGGAGAGGAGAAGAGGGGGUGAGAUGAAGAGAUGCCAGAGGAGAAAUGUAAAGAAUAGAGGGGAAAGGGAGCUGAUAGGAGACGGGUGUUUCACGCUGGAGAACAGCCAAUUCUACGCACAGCUGGGGGCCAAACAAAGCCUUCUCCAGGAUGAUUAGGCAGAGAGGCAAUAAUGUCUCUCUGAGUGUGUGUGUGUGUGUGUAUGUGUGUGGUUACUGACAUAAGAAUAUCAGAGUGGGAUUAUAGACAAAAAUAAAAUGUCUAUCUUUGUUGAGUCCUGCAUUUUGAGGAGCCAUGGAGAAAACGGUUAUGUGAGCGAUGUUUGGGGCCAUUCAAGAAGUCAGACUCACUUUUUGCUUUAAUAGACUUUAUUAAAGAUCUUUUUAGAGAUGGUGUGAUUCCGUUAAAGUGCCUACUGAAAACCUCCUGGGAAACGUCCCCUUACAGUUGGCUUAGUCAAAAAACCAGAUUGGUCACACACAGGAGUCAUUGGCCACGUACAAUACACAGAUUACCUUAAAUAUGAUUUAUGCAAUUGUGCCAUUCACAUAUGGUCCCUAGAUACCCUAAAUACUUUGUCAACAGAAGUCUUAUAUAAUACUGUCAUAAUACACGUCCAUUUACAAUGGAAGAAAGAAAGGUGAACAUUGUGCAAAGACACAAACGGGAACUCUUUAUAUAAGAUAUUCCACUGAGCUCCCAUAACACUGAGAAUACAGUUAAUAUGUAUUACAAUUAAUAUAUUAUAUUACAGUAAAUGCAUUAGGAUUCAGACGGAUACAACAAUCCUUUCUUCCUUCCAGUCUCUAGAGGAGAGUACAUUCUCACAUCCUUGUGCUUCUCUCUAAAAUAACAGACCGGCACAACUGCCACAGGAUCAUACAGACUUCAUUCUUAAUCUCAUCAGCAGGCCAGUCAGUCGCCUCAAAACAUUCAGUCAAAAAGACUCACAAUCACAGAAAGAAACACACUAUAGAAAUUGCAUCGCAGUCGAGGGUCAAUAGGUCACAUUUUACAAACAUCUAUAAUCUUAAAGAAGUUUUAUAUGAAGGACGAUGGAUUGCUCUGUUCCCGGUUCUCUUUCUUUGGCUGACAAAAUCACUAUAAAUAAACUUCACUCAAAUCUCUGUGAUUACAUUUACAAAUGUAUUACCAUGUAAUACUCAUAAAGAUACAUUUACAGUAAAAUACCUGAAUCUGCAAACAGUGGAAAUGCAAUAAAUAUUUGUUCUUAUAUAAUCAAUCUUAAUAUUCUAACAACGUUAUAAACACGUAUGAGCGUCACAUGAUUGCAUGAAACAGACAACGAGCCAGCGUCUUAUUAGUUAAAAGUCGUCACAGACUCGGGAUCACUGUGGACAUUUUAAAUCUUUAUCUUAGACUUCUACGAGGGAAAAUAUUGCAGACUGUCGACCAGCAGCUGGAGGUUAUCUAAAACCUCUCAGCUCAACACACUCUGUUCCUAUGAUGUGCACAUUAGGUCAUAAUAAGCUUAUUUUUAUCAUACUGCUAGCCUAAAAUACAUGACAGGAUAAACUCCUGCACACACACACACACACACACACACACACACACACACACACUGCUUCAGGGGUUUGGACACUGGUUUAGGACAAAUAGGUCAGUGCACUGAGAUUAUAUAUAUAAUGUACAGCUGAAAGCACCACUGAUUCAAUUUUGUGUAGCAAAUAUUUGAUACAGCAGAGUAAUUUUAUGAUACUUUGUUACAUUUUGAUCUGUGCUUUUCUCCCUUUCAGUGUUUGAACACAUACACCCAACACACACUCAGACACACACAUAUACACACACACAGACAUUAAAAGACAAACUACAUCAGAACAGAAACUAGAUAACACAGGCACACACA